rnacentral:rRNA from 1 species
UACGGAGGGAGCUAGCGUUGCUCGGAAUUACUGGGCGUAAAGGGCGCGUAGGCGGAUAUUUAAGUUAGAGGUGAAAGCCCAGGGCUCAACCCUGGAAUAGCCUUUAAUACUGGAUAUCUUGAGUUCGGGAGAGGUGAGUGGAACUCCGAGUGUAGAGGUGAAAUUCGUAGAUAUUCGGAAGAACACCAGUGGGCGAAGGCGACUCACUGGCCCGAUACUGACGCUGAGGCGCGAAAGCGUGGGGAGCAAACAGG